AAGAGGUAUAAAGGAAGUAUAUCGUUGAUGCGGAAAUGAUAAAUUGCGGGUUGUGGUUCCAUAUUGUCGCUUCAGGUAGGGAUUUCUCAGAUCGAAUAAACUGAAAGAGGAAAAGGUACAAGUGCAAAGGAGGAAUAAUGGCAGACGAAGCUGUCUUUCUUUCAAAUGUUUCUAUGAGCAAGGCAAUCUGUGCGGCCCCGACCCGGGCCCAGCAACGCCCAAUCAUUUUGCAGGAAACCCUAAGUGAGUUUCUAUUUGAACAAUCUCACCCUAUUAUUUUAUUCAGAAAAAGGCUUGAGACGUCGAACCUCUGCAGAUUUUGAGCCGUCAAGCAGAUUUGAGCCCGACCAGCCGCGAUUACAACCCUUCACCGUCGAGAUUGUCUAGUGAUUCGCCAUCAGUCGCCGCAAGUAAACAGGAACCGCCCAUGCCUUUGAGCUUUAGUUUUGGCCGUUUAGAAAAUCGAUUGUAUCUCACUAGCAACCGUAUGGUUUUCGCAAAUCCAAGACCACCAGCGUGUUCCUGACGUCGAGGGGAGUCCGGAGCAGGAGUUUCAGCUAGAGAGCUGCCGCGACGCGCCCCUAGGGGCGGCCAGAAGUUUAGCCCGUUCCGCGCGUGAUUUCCAGGCGCCACCGCCUCCACCGGACAUUCGCCGGAGUCACCGCAGCCGAACACCGUCCG